UGGGGAUAUUGCACAAUGGAGGAAACUCUGAUGCAGCAACGCCGCGUGAGGGAAGAAGGUCUUCGGAUUGUAAACCUUAGUAGUCAGGGACGAAAGAAAUGACGGUACCUGAAGAGUAAGCUCCGGCUAACUACGUACCAGCAGCCGCGGUAAUACGUAGGGAGCGAGCGUUGUCCGGAUUUACUGGGUGUAAAGGGUGCGUAGGCGGGACUGCAAGUCAGACGUGAAAUACCGAGGCUUAACUUCGGGGCUGCGUUUGAAACUGUGGUUCUUGAGUGAAGUAGAGGCAGGCGGAAUUCCUAGUGUAGCGGUGAAAUGCGUAGAUAUUAGGAGGAACACCAGUGGCGAAGGCGGCCUGCUGGGCUUUAACUGACGCUGAAGCACGAAAGCAUGGGGAGCAAACAGGAUUAGAUACCCUGGUAGUCCAUGCCGUAAACGAUGAUAGCUAGGUGUGGGGGGACUGACCCCUUCCGUGCCGCAGCAAACGCAAUAAGCUAUCCACCUGGGGAGUACGACCGCAAGGUUGAAACUCAAAUGAAUUGACGGGGUCAUAGCUGUUUUCCU
rnacentral:rRNA from 1 species